CUACACUGCAGACUGUGAAGGACAGAUGAAGUUAAAAGCAGUCAUUAUGAUCAUGAUGCAAAAGAUGUGCAGAACAGCAAAGAGGAAAGUAAUAGAGGUGUCACUGUGACAUUUCCUCUGUGUGGUGUGAAAUUCCAAUAGAUGUGAAUGAAAAGCCAAAUCUUCUAAAAAAGCUUAAGUGGACAAGCUGUCUCUAACCUUGCAAAAUCAAUUCACCCGUAUUCACAGUUUUGAGGACCAAAUUGGGGAAGAAGGAAAACAAGUUCAGUGAGACGAAUUUCAUCCCCUACUUGGAAAUACAGAAUAGAAAUGUGUAGAGUCUGAUUGAAAAAAAUGUUGUGAGUGGUAGUGACUGCUUCAGAAACAAUUGGAUCACUGAAGAAACAUAAUGAAGUAUGAAUCUGCCAAGUUCCACAUACUUUGGGGAUAUCACAUACUUGCAGUCUUGCCAUGAGAAGUGGUAAUCACCACUGUCAUACAAUAAAAAUCUGAAGAAAAAUCCUUAGUCUUGAAGGAUUUGCUUUCUAACAGUACUAUUAAUGUCUUAAUGUAAUAUUAAUGUCUUAAUUAUUGCCGAUAUUGAAAAAUUAUUUUAAGUCUUGGUCAGACUUUUAUUUUGCUAUGCAGAGGUGUCCUAAAAAAUCAUGUUCAUCUUUAUCCUAAUAAAAGUAAUUAAAUUCCAUUCAAGGUCACUCAAGAUUAGAAUACAACCCCCUUGUUUUCAAAGGUGACUGGUUUUCUUUGCUUCCAUCAAGGGAAUUGUUGUCAGCAACAUAUUUGAGCAAUUUAUCACAUCACAUUACAUAUACUUACCUUUGUCAAGUUUUCUCUCUCUGCAAAUGCUAUACCAUUUCAAACUUUUCUAGUGGUAAUUCUAUGAAGGAUAUUUUGUUAUUAUUUUCCAACAAUGUAAUACAUGUAUUAUUCUACAUGUAUGCUUGUAUAAUUUUUCAUUAUUGUAAACACAGAUAAGAACAUAGUGUUCAAUAUGGAUACUUCUACAGUAUGGACCUUAGAACUUUACAAAAACAUUUCUUAUUUAUUUAACUUCUUUGUUG